UGUAUGUGAACUAAGUGGACCCUUAUUUUCAUCUGUCUUCCCUUUCUUUCUAAAAAAAGAAGGAAAGUGAGUUUUAAAGCAGCUGCACAUGUUUACACUGGGAAUCCAGAGCCAACCCUGGACAGCUGUGGGUCUGAAAGUGAUGUCAAGGUGCUUGGGGGGUGGGGGAUAUGGAGAAAGAAUUCAGUCUCCCUUUUUGCAAAUGGAUGGGGCCUUUGUGCUGCCCUCCUUCCUUCUCCUCCUCCAAGUCAUUAAUAGAGCUGGACAGUUUCCCCACUUCGUGCCCCGUUCGUCAAAGUGCUUAGUAGCAGGCAAUCCUCCGUUUAACUAUUGUUGAGGGUUUGAGGGUGAGGAUAGGCCAUGGGUAAGCAAACUAAGGCCCGGGGGCCGGAUCCGGCCCAAUCGCCUUCUAAAUCUGGCCCACGGACAGUCCAGAAAUAAGCAUGUUUUUACAUGAGUAGAAUGUGUCCUUUUAUUUAAAAUGCAUCCCUGGGUUAUUUGUGGGGCCUGCCUGGUGUUUUUACAAGAGAAGAAUGUGUGAUUUUAUUUAAAAUGCAUCUCUGGGUUAUUUGUGGGGCAUAGGAAUUCAUUCAUUUCCCCCAAAAAAUAUAGUCCGGCCCCCACAAGGUCUGAGGGACAGUGGACUGGUCCCCUGCUGAAAAAGUUUGCUGACCCCUGGGAUAGGUUGUAUGAGGCCUAAUUCCUACCUCUGGAAAGGAUUAAAAUCUAAUGAAGGAACCCAUUGCUGAAUUUGCCAGACAGGGGGGCAUCACGGCCCCAAAGUAUGGGUUGCAGAGGCAUAGCAUGGCAGGGGAAGGGGGAACAUGGCCCCCAGGUACACAGCCCCACUGCCUCGACCCUGGCCAUCUUCCCCGAGUGCCGCUGGGAGAAACAGAGCAGAAUCAGGGAAGCCGAGGGAAGGGGCGCGAGCUCAGCCACAGCCUCUUCCUCUCUGCCACUUGCUCUCUCUGGGGCAGAGACAGGGGAGGUGGUGGCAAUCAAAGCAAGGAGGCUCUGCCACCCCAGUCCUGCCCUGCCUGCCACUGCCAUCUUCCGCUGCCUGCCUGUCUCUCUGCCCCACCAGCUGAGGGAGCCAUUGCUCUGCCUGCCUGGUGUCUCAGCCCAGCUGCAUGGCUGCCUCUGAAGGGUGGCAGGGGGAGGGCAAGGACAGGGCCUUAUAGAGGCCUGGAGUGGCACUGCAGCCAUGGCUGUGGGCGGGAAGACAGAGCGGGGACUGCUGAGGAAAGAAGGAGCAAAGGAAAGGGCCAGUUCCCCUCAGAAGUGCCUCACAGUCAAGCUGAGGAAAACAAUCUCAGUUGGAAGAAAGUUGGGGGGUGGGUAGUUGCUCAAUCUGGAAUAACUACUGCCUCAAAUUCCAAAUGCCAGCUUUUCCACCUCACGAUGCCAGGUAUCACAAUAUAGUGAUACAUUGUGGUGUUGGAAAGAGGAGGGAGGAAUAAGCUCCAUCAGACCAGGCCCUGCAAGGCGUUGGGGUGAAACCACCUCAGCUCCAUUAGCGGGAGUGGCGGCAGUUUCACCUCAGCACCUGUGGGCCUGGGCCCAAUGGAGCUUAUUUGUCCCUCAGUGUGCCAGGCACUUGGCAGCAGAGGGGGUUCUUUUGUCGCCAGAGCCCAGCGCACCGAGGGACAAACGAGCUCAAACGAGCUCCAUCGGCCUUGGCACCUCACGAAUCAUUCCUCCCUUGGUCUGAGGGCCAGGGUGUGAUGGCACCUACCCGGAAGUAUAUUGCAGGUGAAACUGCCGCUGCUGUGUCCUGACUCAGGAGUGGCGGUUUCACCCGCAAUAUACCACCAAGUGAAGGCACCAUUGCACUCUGGCCCUCAAACCAACCCUGGGCGAUGUACAGUCAUACCUCGGGAUAAAUGUGCUUCAAGUUAAGUAUUUUCGGGUUGUGCUCCGCGGCGACCUGGAAGUAACGGAGCACUUUACUUCCGGGUUUCAUCACACGUGCAUGUGCAGAUGGUCAAAAUGACUUCACACGCAUGCGCGGAAGCGGCAAAAUGCGACCCACGCACACGCAGACACACAGAUGCGGGUUGUGUUCGCUUCAGGAUGCGAACGGGGCUCCAGAACAGAUCCCGUUCGCAUCCCGAGGUACCAUUGUAUUGAUACAUCACUUAGGCCCAACCCAUACUACGCAAAUGGGUGGUGCCCCUUCCCUCACCUGGCUGGUAGUGAGAAGGACAAUAACCAGGGCAAAGCUGAGGUAUGCAUGUGAGCUGGGCCAGAAGCAGGCAGAAGCUGGAAAUGGGAGAGCCAUACUUGAUUUCUGCUUGUCUCUAAGGCUGUGAAUAUUGGAGAAGCAAGACCUUCUGGGGUGUUAAUGCUGUGGACCCCUCCAUUGUGGGCUCAGGUUGUACAUAGGUGCAAAUAAACCAUAUAUCCCAAAGGCACCACAGUGCACUGCCACUUGUUCCAAGGAAACCAAACUCUGGGUAAACGCCUAGAACCCAUGGAAUCUCGCACCAGUCAGAGAUUGGGGGUGGCACACAACAUUAUUUUCAUAUCUGUUUUGUUUUGAACAGAUUUCUCUCUUUUCUCAGGGUUCAUCUAACAAUGCAGCAAGUUUCAACCUUCCCAACCGGAAACCCUCAAGGAGGAUGUGAGCCCUACAGCAAUACUCUCCCCACUUGUAAUUCCUGGCAACCAUCAUUCAGGGGUAUCUUGCCCCCACAGUGGAAGAAGAACCUAGACAUUGUGACUAGUAGCCAUUGGGGCGCUGGCAGAGGAAGAGGGGGGCAGGGGGAGUGCACCGCCCCCGGCAGUGUGAUCCCAGUGGGGUGCCAUCAUGGCUACCUGCCCACCCACGCUGGGCACCACGCCCCCGCAAGCGGCAUGUCACGCCCCCAGGACGCACGCCAUGCCCCCAAGAAGCGUGCCACCCCGCCCCUGCCUGCUCUCCGCCCCCCCAGUGCCAGAGCAUGAAGCUCUGCCACUACACUGAUGGCC